rnacentral:rRNA from 1 species
GACUACGGGUAGCAGCAGUGGGGAAUAUUGCACAAUGGGGGGAACCCUGAUGCAGCGACGCCGCGUGAGUGAAGCAGUAUUUCGGUAUGUAAAGCUCUAUCAGCAGGGAAGAAAAUGACGGUACCUGACUAAGAAGCCCCGGCUAACUACGUGCCAGCAGCCGCGGUAAUAAGUAGGGGGCGAGCGUUAUCCGGAUAUACUGGGUGUAAAGGGGUCGCAGACGGCUGUGCAGGUCUGGCGGUAAAGGCCGGGGCCCAACCCCCGGACUGCUCUGGACACUGUAAAGCUGGAGGGCAGGAGAGGUAAGCGGAAUUCCUAGUGUAGCGGUGAAAUGCGUAGAUAUUAGGAGGAACACCAGUGGCGAAGGCGGCUUACUGGACUGCAACUGACGUUGAGGCUCGAAAGCGUGGGGAGCAAACAGGAUUAGAUACCCCUGUAGUC